UUUACUGUAUCCCGGAAGUUUUGGUGUGUUGUGUUUCCAUUAUCCUUUGCUUCAAGACAUUUUUCAGUUUUCUUCUUAAUGUCUUCAUUGAUCCACCAGUGAUUCAGGAGCAUGUUGUUUAAUUUCCAUGUGUUUGUAUGGUUUCCAGAAUUGCUCUUGUUACUGAUUUCUAGUUUUAUUCCAUUUUGGCCAGGGAAAAUGCUUGAAAUUUCAAUUUUUGUGAAUGUUUUAAGAUUUGUUUUGUGACAAACAUAUAGAUCCUUGAGAAUGAUCCUCGAGAAUGAUCCAUGUGCUGAGGAGAAAAAUGUGUAUUCUGCAUCCAUUGGACGGAAUACUCUUGUCACACCAAGGAGGAUUGUCCAUCCAGUAAUGGGCCUGCCCUUCACCAACAGGUGCACAGAAGAGAGAGUCAGAAGAGGAGAAGGUGAUGUGAAGAAGGAGGCAGAGAUUGGAACAAUGGGGCUACAAGCCAAGGUAUGCUGACGAAUGACCUACAGCUGCCAGAGCUGGAGGACUCAAGGAAUGGAUUUGCUCCUAGAGCCUUCAGAGGGAAUGUGGCCCUGUAUAUUGAUUUUGGAGUUUGGGCCUCCAGAACUGUGAAAGAAUAAUUUUCUGUUGUUUUAAGUUGCCAGCUUUGAGGGCAUUUGUUGUGGCAGCUACAGGAAGUUAAAAUGUGGAUGGUCAACUUCAAUAUCAACAGUGGUACAUCAAAUUGAUAUUAUAUACUCUUGAUAAGGUAUUUGGAGAACAGCACUUCACCUCAUCUAAGCAUCCAUAACCAUAGUCUAACUAACCAUGAUCUAAACCUUAACUAAAUUCAACUUGAGGGACAUUUUACAAUACAUCUGGUCAGUACUCCCCAAAAUUGUGAAGGGCAUCAAAAAUUAGGAAAAAUCUCAGGAACUAUCACAGACCAGAGGAGGCCAAGGAGGCAUGAAGGAGACUAAAUGUAAUGUGAUAUUCUCAAUGGAAUCCUGGAACACAGAAAGGACAUUAGGGGAACGCUAAUGAACUCCAAAUAAAGUCUGUAGUUUAUUAUUUAGUAAUAAUAAGGUACGAAAAUGGCUUCAUUAGCUGUGACAAAUGGACCAUAAUAAUGCGAGAUGUUCACACCAGGGGAAACUGACUAUGGAGCGGAUGGCAACUCUGUACUACCUUUGCAACUUUUAUGUAAAUUUAAAACUCUUCUAAAAUAAAAUUAUUUAAAAGUAGCACUCAGGAAAGGAUUAAGGAGUGGAAGAAAAAAAUGAUCAACUUUCCAUUUUCCUGGAGUGUUGCCAUGAAAAGGCUGGAGAGAGGGUUUGCAAGGAGGAAUUGGAAACCUCAGAGGCAGCUCCAGAGCCCUCCUCUGUUCCGCAGAACCGGAACCCCGCGCAGUCCAGGGCUUCGAAAGCCUUUCCACCCCCUUGGACAACCCCAGCCCCACCUCAUUGAUACAUCCUUUCUGGGUCAACAAUCUCUGUCUUAGACCACCGCCCCGUCCUCUCCAGAGGGGCUCAUCAGAACCCAAGCGCAUAGCGGCAGCGCCCCCGUGUGGCCGAAGGACUGAGGACAGACACUCAGCUCCCCUUUCCCUUCCCCACCUGGGACCUCCCUAGGGUCCCCUUCGGAUCUCGGUCGCAGAACAGGGCUCUGUGCUCAUGGGGGCGACCCUGUCCCGCGACAGAUGCUUUUUCCCAGUUAGUGGCGGUGGACUCUGACCUCAAGGCAGAGGGAGGUCCACAGGCCCUAAGACCUGGUUCCCAAGUCCGGGUGCACCCCGCAGACAUACUGUGCUCCCAGUACGCAGCCUCUCAGUGGUUUUGGAAUGAGGCCUUGGACUCUCAGUGUUUUUGGACUCUCAGUGUUUUUGGAACGAGGUCUUGGAGUCCCUGAAAUUUGUUCUGCUGCUUCCAGAGAGGAAGAUCCCUUCUCCCCGGAAUCCACUAGUUAAGUCUCCAGCCCUAGUACGGAGGGAACCGGGAAGGACAUGGCAUCGGAGUUGGAGACUAUAUUGGGUUACAAGGAUGUCUAGGAUCAAACUGGGCUGAGCAUUUGUCCCCAGUCCAUCGGAAACCCGAGGGCGGUUCCUCCGCCACUCCCCGGACCUCCAGGACCCAGGCAUCUGAACCUACACCCUAUUGGAUCUUAGAGGGCGGCCCCUCCCCAGCCUUGAGAGUCCAGGAUUCUGGCCCCACCCGAACACUGAGAGCCCAGGACCCUGGCAUCCGACCUCUUCUUCCCAUUUGUGACCUAAGCAGACAGGACCUGCUGUCUUAUUUCCCUGAAUCCUGGCCCUCUGCCAUCUCCAAUCCCUGAUUAAAGGUCCUUGAUUCUGGACUCAAAUCUAAUUUCUGGUCCCGUCGAUUGUCCGUGACGGUCGCCCACCAGGAAAGGCUCCCCAGCGCGAAACAUGCUGCAGCUGAGCGACAGCGGCGGAUUUUGGCGCUUUGGCCCAGACUCUCUCCCCGAAGCGCCCGGGAUUCCGCCCUGGAGGCUACUCAGGGAUCUGUCUUCCUCUGCGGCAGGAGGGGGCGCAAGGGGAUUUCUGCCACUGAGGCUGCACUCACCACCCUGGGUAAGCCUCUCCCCACCGCUCCCCUGUGGACCUCAAAAAUCACAUAUUGGGAAAAUACCGACCUGUCGGCCGCAGACUCAACUUUAAGAGGUUCUGGUCUCUAGAUUUAUUCAGACCUCGGUUUUUGAGUAUCUACUUUUCGUCAGGCGCUAUUCUAGGCGCUUGGGUGAAAUCCAAACAGGCACAAAUCAUGGCCGUCGAAUAAUUUACGUUCAGUUGUAAGAUAUGGCCAAUAAAAGUUACUGAAGUCAACUACAGGGGUGUCCGAAAAUAAAGGAUGAUUAAGAGAAAAGCAAAGCACAGAAGAUGAAAGGAGCAGGGGCAAUUUUACGUUAUUAUUAUCGGUGUGAGAUUUCCCGAGGGGCGCCCUGCGAGGUGAGACCUGAAGCAGAUGAAGGAGGGAGCCCUGGGUUACUGGGAGAUAGGGUGUUCUAGAAUCACACUCUGCAGACGUGGAGCUCCGCCAGGGAAAGCACCCAGGCUGCGGCAGGAAUGGGGCUGGGUAGGUUUCAGAAGGACUUCCUGAGGCGGGUUGCGGAGAUCAGGGUUUGUGUAUCUCCUGACCACUUCCUACCAGUGCCUGGCACUUCAUGAAACCCUUAGGUUGCCAGCAGGGUGAGGGGCCUGGUGUGUGGAGGAAGACUGGGAGAGGAGGAGACUAAGUAGGGGCGUCCCAGCCCCUACUGUGUCUCUGUACUUUUUCUUUCCUGGACCCAGAGUUGGAAAUGUCAGUGGUACUGAUGUCUUCUGCAAAUCCUAGAAUCCCUGGAACUGGGAGAAAUCUUGACAUGGCAGGAUGUAAAAUUAAGGAAUUUCUAAGCCCUAGAGGCUCUAAGACAAUUUAAAGAAAGACUAAUUAUGAGAAAAAAAUUUUAAAUAUGGCAAUAAUCUUUUAUAUUGAUUACAUGCUAAAAUUAUA